CGACUGGACAAAAACUAGAAAAAGAAGUGACUUCAAUCCACACUGUAAGCAUACCUGUAAAACAAUGUAUUUGUUAAAUAUCAAGUUCCCACCUGACUUGCCUCAUUCAUGGACUGUCAAUCACCACUAAAACCACGCCCCUAUCCACUCUAUAUAACUCCUCCCUUCAGGCCUGUGGCCCUCUUUUCCCUCCAAACAAAACAAGGCAGAACAAAGAAAGGAGUGAUAUUUCAGGGUGACAUCCUGCUUAACGUUAAGAGAAAACCGUAGUACAGAUUGUGGAUGCAGUGCAGACUGUGGAUGCAUUACUGAUACAAAAUCAUCCAUUCAUCCAUGCAUCCAUUCAUCCAAUUACCUGCCACCAGUGUAAACCUUUCCCUGCCUUGAAAACAAUAAAACCUUG